rnacentral:rRNA from 1 species
AACGCGAAGUAACCUUACCUGGGCUCGAAAUGUAGUGGACCGGGGUGGAAACAUCCCUUCCCGCAAGGGCUGCUAUAUAGGUGCUGCAUGGCUGUCGUCAGCUCGUGUCGUGAGAUGUUGGGUUAAGUCCCGCAACGAGCGCAACCCUUAUUGUCAGUUGCCAUCAUUAAGUUGGGCACUCUGGCGAAACCGCCUCGGAUAACGGGGAGGAAGGUGGGGAUGACGUCAAGUCCUCAUGGCCUUUAUGUCCAGGGCUACACACGUGCUACAAUGGUCGGUACAAACCGUCGCAAACCCGCGAGGGGGAGCUAAUCGGAAAAAGCCGGCCUCAGUUCGGAUUGGAGUCUGCAACUCGACUCCAUGAAGCUGGAAUCGCUAGUAAUCGCGGAUCAGAACGCCGCGGUGAAUACGUUCCCGGGUCUUGUACACACCG